AGAGUUUGAUCCUGGCUCAGGACGAACGCUGGCGGCGCGCCUAACACAUGCAAGUCGAACGAGAGAUGAGGAGCUUGCUCUUCAAAUCGAGUGGCGAACGGGUGAGUAACGCGUGAGGAACCUGCCUCAAAGAGGGGGACAACAGUUGGAAACGACUGCUAAUACCGCAUAAGCCCACGGCUCGGCAUCGAGCAGAGGGAAAAGGAGCAAUCCGCUUUGAGAUGGCCUCGCGUCCGAUUAGCUAGCUGGUGAGGUAACGGCCCACCAAGGCGACGAUCGGUAGCCGGACUGAGAGGUUGAACGGCCACAUUGGGACUGAGACACGGCCCAGACUCCUACGGGAGGCAGCAGUGGGGAAUAUUGCACAAUGGGGGAAACCCUGAUGCAGCGACGCCGCGUGGAGGAAGAAGGUCUUCGGAUUGUAAACUCCUGUUGUUGAGGAAGAUAAUGACGGUACUCAACAAGGAAGUGACGGCUAACUACGUGCCAGCAGCCGCGGUAAAACGUAGGUCACAAGCGUUGUCCGGAAUUACUGGGUGUAAAGGGAGCGCAGGCGGGAGAACAAGUUGGAAGUGAAAUCCAUGGGCUCAACCCAUGAACUGCUUUCAAAACUGUUUUUCUUGAGUAGUGCAGAGGUAGGCGGAAUUCCCGGUGUAGCGGUGGAAUGCGUAGAUAUCGGGAGGAACACCAGUGGCGAAGGCGGCCUACUGGGCACCAACUGACACUGAGGCUCGAAAGUGUGGGUAGCAAACAGGAUUAGAUACCCUGGUAGUCCACACCGUAAACGAUGAUUACUAGGUGUUGGAGGAUUGACCCCUUCAGUGCCGCAGUUAACACAAUAAGUAAUCCACCUGGGGAGUACGACCGCAAGGUUGAAACUCAAAGGAAUUGACGGGGGCCCGCACAAGCAGUGGAGUAUGUGGUUUAAUUCGACGCAACGCGAAGAACCUUACCAAGUCUUGACAUCCCUUGACGAUGCUGGAAACAGUAUUUCUCUUCGGAGCAAGGAGACAGGUGGCGCAUGGUUGUCGUCAGCUCGUGUCGUGAGAUGUUGGGUUAAGUCCCGCAACGAGCGCAACCCUUAUGGUCAGUUACUACGCAAGAGGACUCUGGCCAGACUGCCGUUGACAAAACGGAGGAAGGUGGGGAUGACGUCAAAUCAUCAUGCCCUUUAUGACUUGGGCUACACACGUACUACAAUGGCGUUAAACAAAGAGAAGCAAGACCGCGAGGUGGAGCAAAACUCAGAAACAACGUCCCAGUUCGGACUGCAGGCUGCAACUCGCCUGCACGAAGUCGGAAUUGCUAGUAAUCGUGGAUCAGCAUGCCACGGUGAAUACGUUCCCGGGCCUUGCACUCACCGCCCGUCA
rnacentral:rRNA from 1 species